AUUGCAAACUCAAGUAGGCAGUUAUGUAGCCCCCGCCCAAAUUAGUGAACCCAAAACAAAACCCACAAGAUCUCAUCAACAGUUUUUACCUCACAGCUGACACUUAUAAAGGAGUUCCAAGUGCUUCCGCCAACUCCUCCUACCAGCAACUGUGAAAACAACGGCCACAAGGAGUAAUGCUGCUUUUCACACAGAAAGGGCUUCUACUGUGCCUGACCUUAAGACAGGAAAAGUAGGGGAGCUAAGGAAGCUACCUACACCGCCCUCACCCCCAGUAGCCAGGCUCAGGAAGGAAGAGGCACAGCGGUGUGAAUGGAUGGAGAAGAGGAGGCCGGUAGGCUGAGCCCCUGGCUCCUGGAACGAACACACAGCCAUGGCAGGUAGGAAAUCUGGGCUCCAACAGUGGCCCUGGGCUGGAGCAGUGAAAGGAUGAAGAGGAGAAUGUGGCUUGAAUAGGUUCCAUGACUUGUACAAGACCACAGCUGGUACAUGAUGAAGCAAGGACAAGACACGGGCAUCUGACCUCAAGAGUCUCUCCAAUCAUGAAAUACCUGUAUGAGUUAUCUAUUGCUGCAUAACAAAUUGCCCCAAUAUUUAGCAGCUUAGGAGCAGGAUUGCUGGAAUGGUGGGAUAAAACUUAGUGGCUUAAAACAA
ensembl:lncRNA novel transcript